rnacentral:rRNA from 1 species
UCGGGUUGUAAAGCACUUUUGUCCGGAAAGAAAUCCUGAGGGCUAAUAUCCUUCGGGGAUGACGGUACCGGAAGAGUAAGCACCGGCUAACUACGUGCCAGCAGCGCGGUAAUCGUAGGGCGCGAGCGUUAAUCGGAAUUACCGGGCGUAAAGCGUGCGCAGGCGGUUCGCUAAGACCGAUGUGAAAUCCCCGGGCUUAACCUGGGAACUGCAUUGGUGACUGGCGGGCUAGAGUAUGGCAGAGGGGGGUAGAAUUCCACGUGUAGCAGUGAAAUGCGUAGAGAUGUGGAGGAAUACCGAUGGCGAAGGCAGCCCCCUGGGCCAAUACUGACGCUCAUGCACGAAAGCGUGGGGAGCAAACAGGAUUAGAUACCCUGGUAGUCCACGCCCUAAACGAUGUCAACUAGUUGUUGGGGAUUCAUUUCCUUAGUAACGUAGCUAACGCGUGAAGUUGACCGCCUGGGGAGUACGGUCGCAAGAUUAAAACUCAAAGGAAUUGACGGGGACCCGCACAAGCGGUGGAUGAAGGUGGAUUAAUUCGAUGCAACGCGAAAAACCUUACCUACCCUUGACAUGGUCGGAACCCUGCUG